CCCUUAGAUGUUCUGGGCCGCACGCGCGCUACACUGAUGCAUUCAACAAGCCUAGCCUUGACCGAGAGGUCCGGGUAAUCUUUGAAACUGCAUCGUGAUGGGGCUAGAUUAUUGCAAUUAUUAAUCUUCAACGAGGAAUGCCUAGUAAGCGUGAUUCAUCAAAUCGCGUUGAUUACGUCCCUGCCCUUUGUACACACCGCCCGUCGCUCCUACCGAUUGAAUGUGUUGGUGAGGAGCUCGGAUUGGCAGCAGUUGGUAGUUCGCCACCGGCUAUUGCUGAGAAGUCCUCCAAACCGCCCCAUUUAGAGGAAGGAGAAGUCGUAACA
rnacentral:rRNA from 1 species